UCUGAGGACAGUGCUGGAGCAACUGAAAGUGUAUAGUGCUGUCCUCACUGACAAGGAGUCAUCGUCCAUCCUCACACUGGCAAAGGAACAUCAGCGAAAGGAAUGGGUUCUUGUCUGUAACACCAUCUACUUAAGCUACAGCAAGAUUAUUUUAGAGAGCAAGGGAGAUAUUUUCAUGCAUUUCGAUGCCGUGCUGGCCUUGAUCCUGCAACACUACCACAACUGCAUUUUGGAAAAGGAUAAGGCCCUGAAGCUGGAUUACCUGAAUGCCCUCAUCAUACUGACAAAAACCCUGGGCAGGCAGCAGCACGUGGCCUUUCAAUUCAAGUUCCCCCACAAGCUGGCAAUUGUUUCCUUC